GAAAGAAGUAUGAAUAAAACAAAAUUUGAAGACGCCUAACAGCCCGACUGCUUCGUUUCCACGCGCACGAAACCCUAGACUAGAUAAAAAGUUCCCAUUUCCCUCAAUUCCCCAACUUCCCUCGCCGCAAUCUCUCGCCGCCUCCAGUCCAGAGCCACCGUGAGAUCUGCCCGAUUCCGCCGCCCGGACCCGGGGACUCCCUCCCCUCCUCGAUCCGUUCGGGCGGCCGGCCGGCCUAGCUUCAAGUGCGGGGAUGGUGUUCUACUUCAAGGCGCGGCCCGAGGCCGGCGACUAUACCAUCUUCAUGGGUCUUGACAAGUACGAGAACGAGGACCUCAUCAAAUACGGCUUCCCCGAGGACAUCUGGUUCCAUGUAGAUAAGAUGUCCUCUGCACAUGUGUAUGUGAGAUUGAAUAAAGGUCAAUCAAUGGAUGACAUGAGUGAGGGUUUGCUGGAAGACUGUGCGCAGCUUGUCAAAGCUAAUUCCAUUCAAGGUAAUAAAGUCAAUAACAUUGAUGUAGUUUAUACUCCAUGGUACAAUUUGAAGAAGACCCCUUCAAUGGAUGUAGGCCAAGUUGGUUUUCACAACCCUAAAUUGCUGCAGAAGGACGAGCUUGAGUUGCAGUGCACCACCAUGCUGCUCCCUGUGCACAACCAUAGCUCCUGUGCGCUGCCAGGAGUACAAGCCCUGGCUAUCGUUCUCCUACUUGUACAACCUAUGCAAUCGCGGUUCGCACUAUUAAAGUGGAAAAGAGGAUCAAUGAGAUUGUGAACCGCUUGAAUAAGACAAAGGUGGAACGGAAACCUGAUUUAAAGGCUGAAAGAGAGGCUAUUAGUGCUGCUGAAAAGGCAGAAAGAAAGGCACAGCUUAGAGACAAGAAACGUAGGGAAGAGAUGGAGAGGCUUGAGAAAGAGAAGCAGGCUGAUAUCAGGAGCUACAAGGGUCUAAUGGUCCAAGAGAAGAUGACUUCCAACAAGCAAAUCGCUUCUGGCAGCAAGACCCUGCAGGAACUUGAAGAAGACUUUAUGUGAGAGGCGGACAUUAUAAAUGCCAUGCUGAAGAUUUCCUUGAACUGCUUCUGUCGAAGACAGAAGGGGUACCACAGGCUUGUGAGAUACUGGAUGACUCAUGGGCAGGCCAUGGUCUGUUAUUAUCUCCUCUUGCUGUUGUGGUCUAUGUAAACCUUGUUUACUUGCUGAAAAAACAACGGUGCAUGCUCUAACUGUGGUUGAUGUAAUGGUCUGUUGCCCAUCAAGUUGAAAUGGUAAUGGAAUUAUGGUUUCCUGGAUUUUUUUCAAACAAUAAAGACAUGGCAGCAGAUAACUUACAUAUUCCA